rnacentral:rRNA from 1 species
GACGAACGCUGGCGGCGUGCUUAACACAUGCAAGUCGAACGGAAAGGCCCUGCUUUUGUGGGGUGCUCGAGUGGCGAACGGGUGAGUAACACGUGAGUAACCUGCCCUUGACUUUGGGAUAACUUCAGGAAACUGGGGCUAAUACCGGAUAGGAGCUCCUGCUGCAUGGUGGGGGUUGGAAAGUUUCGGCGGUUGGGGAUGGACUCGCGGCUUAUCAGCUUGUUGGUGGGGUAGUGGCUUACCAAGGCUUUGACGGGUAGCCGGCCUGAGAGGGUGACCGGCCAAUUGGGGAAGGAGAUACGGCCCAGCCCCUCACGGGGGGGAGGGGGGGGGAAAAUGGACAAAGGGGCGAAAGCCGGGUGCACAAACGCCUGGUGGGGGAUGAGGGCCUUGGGGUUGAAAACCGCUUUCCCCUGGAACAAAGGGGGGGUGCCGGUAAUGGGGAAAAAAGCACCGGCUAACUACGG